GACGAACGCUGGCGGCGUGCUUAACACAUGCAAGUCGAACGGAAAGGCCCUGCUUUUGUGCGGUUCUCGGUUGGCGAACGGGUGAGUAACACGUGUGUAACCUGCCCUUCACUUUCGGAUAACUUCAGGAAACUGGGGCUAAUACCGGAUAGGAUCUCCCGCUGCAUGGUGGGCGUUGGAAAGUCUCGGCUGUUGGGGCUGGACUCGCGGCUGAUGGGCUUGUUGGUUGGGUAGUGGCUUACCCAGGCAUUGACGGGUAGCCGGCAUGGGAGGGUGACCGGCCACCAUGCGCCUGAGGUACGGCCCAGAGUGGUACGGGAGGCAGCAGUGGGGAACAUUGCACAACGAGAGGAAGCCUGAUGAAGAAGCUCCGCGUGCGGAAUGACGGUCUGUGGGUUGUGAACCGCUUUCGGCUGUGACCAAGCGGUUGUGACGGUAAUGGGUAAAGAAGCACCGGCUAACUACGUG
rnacentral:rRNA from 1 species